CUUUCAAAGAUGGCAAUUAAAAGGGAAUCAGGUGCAAAUCCUGAACAGUCCCGCUGCUGUAAGUUUCAUGCAAUGUUACAGACAACAACUCUCUAUACCACUGGAAGCAUGCUUCCGGGAAGGUGUUUGUAACAGAAACGAGUCAGAAGACCUGCCAUGCAACCA
rnacentral:ncRNA from 1 species